CGUGGAAGCUCGUCUGAAGAUUAUCCGCCAAAGAAAUUCGAUUUCAUUAGGAACUUGGCGGAAGGUCGAUCGGUGGUGGACUUCAGAUGGCGUUGGGGAGGCUCGUUUGCUGGAAGAGUAUGGGGGAUCCGGAGGCGAUCGAUCGUUGUAGAAAUCCAGCUGCUGGAGCCCAUCCGUUGCAAAAGCUCAUCCAAAAUCCAUCCGCUAUGGAAGAUCAGAUGGAGUCUGGUUCUUGUGGGAGGC
rnacentral:lncRNA from 1 species